GAGGAGGGUGUGACAUCUGCUCCACCAGCGCUCAUUAAGGCAGUAUUAUCACAUCUUACAAUGAGAGGGACAUGGAUGAAAUGUCAAACCGAUGCAGAUUCCCCAAACAGGUCUCUGUUUAUUCAUUAGGAGUCAUUCUUUUAGCCCUGUGAAUGUACCACCAGUAGUCCCUUUUCUUUAACCUUUCUUUGGCCUCUUCUUACUGUCUAUAGCUGUUUAAGUUACUUCUACUUGUUGCUGACCAUACGUCCUCUUUUACCCGGACAUGUCCUCUUUUUGGAGGGCUGUUUAAAGUUUUGAGUUUGUGUCGUGUGGACUUUUUGAGUUAGAAACGCAUAAAAAACACUCGACCUGACCUGAAAAAUCUCAAAAAAUUUACUAUGCAUGACUCAUUAACUCUGCCUCUGCGUAGUUGUGUCCUCUUUUUGGAGAUUCAGAAUAUGGUCACCUUAGUGUUAUCUGUAGAGCCAGUGAUGUUACAGUGGAUUUGACAGCCUUUAAACAAACUCUUAGUGUGUUGAAAAAGUACAUUCUAGUAAUCACACUAAACUGAAUCGGUGGAUUUUAGAGCUGGACAGGAUGAAAAUUUGCUGAAAUUAGAUAUACAAGCCUGAUUUACUCAUAUAAACUACUAUAGUUCGCACGCUGAUUUAUCAAUCAAUCAUUAAGUAAAUUAAUCUCUAUCGAUAAAGUGCCAAUUCUGAAAAAGUGUUACCCCAAGAUGCUCAACAGAAAACCUGGUCCAGACCAGACCCUAUUUACAAGGUGGGAUCAGAUUGAGCUCCAUCUAUUAAUAUCAGACCAUAGACUGUAUAUAGAAUGGACGCCGUCUGCCUCCUCGCUGAGUGAAGCCACCCUGAGAACAGCACCCUCUGGUGACGGGCUGCAGUAUAGGUCAUAAAUCCUGCCUCUUCCGGCAAUCCCUAUGGAGCUGUGGACAAACUUAUGAAAUUUAUUAAACGGAAUAUAAUUUUUUCAUUUUCCCCCUGCUUGUGAUGUUGACAUGUAGUUACAGUAAGACUGGUUUGUGCUCAAGUCCUCUUUUUUCUGUACAGCUCCAUUUUUUAAGUUAUUAGGGGGGGUUCUAUGAUUGACACUUGAUACAGCCUAUGGGCGUAACAAAGAUUGUGUAGCUCACCCGGGAAAUGCUGUUUGAGCUGAGUGUCAUCACAGCGACUCUCUGCGACUCUCCCGCUGAAUGCAUACAAUGCUACUACCCGGAAAUACAGAGAGCAUUCAGCUUCAUAUUCAUAUAAUGACAAAAGUCAAGACCAAGUUGUCCAUAGUAUAUACAGACCCACUCCCAUUACAUCUUCAACCACAUGAGUGUAGCUCUUUGUAGAAUUUGACAAGUUACAGUGAAGAGGACAACCUUCCUUAGACAGGCAGAAACCUCGAGCAGAACCAGACUCUUGUGGUUUAUGUUGUACUGCCCAACGUCUUAUUGUGAACAUGGUGCUAUGGUGGUUGUAAGAGUAAAAUACUGUCUUGUGCGUAGUUAACAACUGGUAUGGCUAACAACAACUAACAACCACUGACAACGGCUAACGACAGCUGAAAAUUGUUAACAUCAGCUAACUGUAGGCGUCCAUCUUGGUUUUACUGGAACGCCGUCAACUUGGGUGUAACGUCAUUCCCAGCUCUGACAUCCGAGUUCCGUGGUAACUGGAAAAUACCUCUGGUGACUUAAAUCUCAUUGCUUCAUCAGUUCCAAUUAAUAAAAUCAGCACUUUUAAUCUUGUAAUAAUCGAUCAGCUUUACAGCUACAGAAAAGGCUCUUUCUGCUGCUGGUUGAGUGACACUAAAAUUACUUCACAUAAAAAACUAAAACAAAACAAACAAAAGAUUGUUUUUUUUCUCCUCACCUAGCUGAAUCUAACAAAUAAGACAUCUUGGGUUUAAUUUGCCAAAGCUUUGAGCUCUCUGCUUCCACUUCAUUACCCAUGACAGCAAAGAUAGGUUUUAGUUUCUCAUGCUCAGUGUGUUGAAAACCAAUCUGAUGCAACAUCUGUUUUCAGAAACACUACCUCUAUUACAGCGGAUAAUCCUCAGAAAACAUCAAUAAUAUGAUUCACAAGGACGGCUUCCUUGGUGAAAAUUGAAAACUCGGCGCAGUGAAAAUCUUUUAUCGAGUUCUUAUCCCGUAAUAAGUCGAUUAUUUAUAAAUUAAAUCAAUUUUUAAAAACAGAGAAUAGCCGCACACUGUAUUUUGUAUGCCUGUGAAAAUACAAUAUUUAAGAAAGUCUGUGAAGGCAGAUAAAAUGUGUGUGUGUGUGCAGAAGACAGAAGGAAGAGUGUCUGCAUGGAUGUAAUGGGAUGGAUAUGGUUAGAGAAACAGUAAGCCAUGUGCAAAAGAGAAGCUGAAAACCCACAGAGACUUAGAUGUGUGUAAGAAAGUGUAUGUGAAUGUGUGUGUGUGUGUGUGUGUGUGUAUGUGUAUGUGUAUGUGUGUGUGUGUGUGUGUGUCAGGUGACAGGGAGGGAUGGGGACAUGGGCAGGUCCUGGUAAUGAAGGACUGAUAAGUCCCUAUUUCCUGGGCCUGGGUUAAUUGUGCCCACAGAUAAAGGGUAAUAAAUUGUCACGGGGUAAUGGCAGGAGCUUGGGCUCGGCCCUGUUCCACAUUCAUCAUGAGCGGCUGGGCCUGUGAGCCUGGAGAGCAGGCAGGGCUGAGAGACCUGCACAGCCUGGCAGGCAGGAGGAGACGGAGGAGGAGAAACCUCACAGGGAUGCAGGAGGAGAGGAUGUUUGGCUUACUUGCUCACAGGGAUUCUGUCGCUGGCUGAGCGGUGUUGGAGCGAGGACAAGACAUAACAGAGGUUGAGAGAGAUGUGAAGGAGACUUGAAGACUGAUGCAAGACCAAUGAUUGCAAUUAUUUAAAGGGAUAUUCCAGCAUAAAAAUAAUUUACAGUCAAAUAUGCCAUAACUCCGAGUUAGACUCCCCCUUGAGAGAUGAAUGUUGCAGACUGCUUGCUUCUCUAGUUAUACCAACUUUAGCAACAACCGCACUAUAGCAUUACACAGCGGUCUGAGCAAACCUCAACCAAAAAGCCACUCGUAAAAGGACAUAUAGGGUCCCAGCCAUAGUACUAGACACCAAACAUCUUUUUAGCUUUGCCUGAUUUCUUUAGCAAAGAGACUAAACACAACUCACCAACUCUCUUCCAGCAGCUGCUUGUUUGUAGAGAGACCUCGGGCCAGUCCAUUACGGACUACAGUGGGGUGAUGCAGCUCAAGGAAGAACAUUUAUGAUAGUUUUGAGUCUACUCUUGAUGGAAGAGAGGGUGUCUGCACCUCGACUGGUAGAUAAAUCCAGAGGAGAGGAGCUUGAUAACUGAAAGCUCUACAACCCAGACCCAAAGCCGGCCUGCAUUAGUAGGAAUCCUCAAUGUGAGGUGUGUCAUACCAGCUCAAUUAGUUUGUUUUAAAGAAAUGUGGAGUUCUGCAAACCUCUGCUUAUUCAGUAAGUUGGAGAUAAAUGUAAUUAUUGAUAUUUUCUUGGACAAAGUUACAAAGUGAACCCCAUAACUAAACUUGCAGGCCUGCCUCCCCUUAGAAAACAUACAGAGAAGCAUGGUCAGUGUAAACAUCACUGUAGGGUUAGUUAGAUUUGAGUAGAUAAAAAGGAGGUGAAAGGAAGUGAAAACCUACAUGUAUCAAAGAGAUUCUCUGUGAAGUGUGUCUUCUCAUUAAAUGAGUGAUUAGUGUUUACAUUCAGGCUACAGUGGUGCACAGUGUGGUGCAGCUGUUGGAAAGGAUAACAGCUGACUGUAUGUUCAUACAAUUAUCUAGCUGUUUGUUAAAUCCUGAUUGUUUGUUUUGGUUCUUUUCAGAUCAGAUUUUCAAAGAGAAAAGUUAUUUUUGAAGACCCGCUGUGCUCUUCAGCUCAUCCCAGCACUUGUUUAAUAAUGUCAGAAAUCCAGUUUCCUCAGCGGAGAGGGUACAAGCUGCAUAUUCAGGGAAACCCAUGGUGUCAGGAAAAUGUAGUUCAUUACAUAAAGAGACAAUGCAGAGAUCAUGUUUAGUGGGACUCAGUGCACCACCUUGCCAGCUUGACAGAUCACUUCCUCAAACUGAGAGAUGGUGUUAGUUGGAGGUUGCCGCAGCGGCUGAGGGAUGAUGCAUCCCA